rnacentral:snoRNA from 1 species
AUCCUUUUGUAGUUCAAAUGCAUGAGGAUUGGGUUUUCACCCUCCCUCAAACCCUGUCAUCAGGUCAGCACGUUACUAGUCCAAUG